rnacentral:misc_RNA from 1 species
GCAAACUUGGUCAUUUAGAGGAAGUAAAAGUCGUAACAAGGUUUCCGUAGGUGAACCUGCGGAAGGAUCAUUAACGAGUUUUGAAAGCGGGAGCUUGUUGCUGGUGCGGAAACGCACAAGUGCACGGCUUUCCGUUGCUCAAUCCACUCAACCCCUGUGCACCUUUGCGAAGUUAGUAGUCUUGGUUCCUUCUCUUAGUCUGGUUGUAUUGAGUGCUUGUUGCUUUAUGCGCGAGUUCACUUGACCGGAGAGAGAGAGGGCGGAGAGGCGAACACUUUGAUUUUUUAUUACAAACCCAUUGUAAUGUCUUGUGGAAUGUAAUGCUCCUCGUGAGCGAAAUUGAAAUACAACUUUCAACAACGGAUCUCUUGGCUCUCGCAUCGAUGAAGAACGCAGC